rnacentral:rRNA from 1 species
CGGUUAGUUGGACUACCAGGCGACGAUGGGUAGCCGGCCUGAGAGGGUGACCGGCCACACUGGGACUGAGAUACGGCCCAGACUCCUACGGGAGGCAGCAGUGGGGAAUAUUGCACAAUGGGCGCAAGCCUGAUGCAGCGACGCCGCGUGAGGGAUGACGGCCUUCGGGUUGUAAACCUCUUUCGGUAGGGACGAAGCGCAAGUGACGGUACCUACUAAAGAAGCACCGGCCAACUACGUGCCAAGG